rnacentral:rRNA from 1 species
AGUGAACGCUGGCGGCAGGCCUAACACAUGCAAGUCGAACGGCAGCACAGUAAGAGCUUGCUCUUACGGGUGGCGAGUGGCGGACGGGUGAGGAAUACAUCGGAAUCUACUUUUUCGUGGGGGAUAACGUAGGGAAACUUACGCUAAUACCGCAUACGACGUACGGGUGAAAGCAGGGGAUCUUCGGACCUUGCGCGAUUGAAUGAGCCGAUGUCGGAUUAGCGAGUUGGCGGGGUAAAGGCCCACCAAGGCGACGAUCCGUAGCGGGUUUGAGAGGAUUGUCCGCCACACUUGAACUUGAGCACCGUCCAGGCUCCUACGGGAGGCCGCAGGGGGGAAUUUUGGACCAUGGGCCGCAGCCUGGUCCCGGCAAGACGGGGGGGUUAAAGAAGGCUUCCGGGUGUUAAGGCCUUUUUGUUGGAAAGAAAAGCAGCAGGUUAAUACCCCGCUGUUCUGACGGUACCCAAAGAAUAAGCACCGGCUAACUUCGUG